rnacentral:lncRNA from 1 species
CAGACCCGACCCUAUACUCUUCUUCUUCCUUUGAUCAAAACCCAAAUCCCGAUCCAUCGAGCAACACGUGUCUCUCCUCCUCUCCCUUAUCCUCUAUUACGAAUUUGUUUCGAGAAUCGUCUAGGUGGAGGCAUCUCCUUGUGAUUGCGCGUCCUUGUUCAAGAUCAGACGGCUCCCUUCAAAAAUCCUUGUUCUAAUUCUUGGCUAUCAAACCUUAUCGAAUUCAAAUUUCGAGAUUUUGAAUGGAAUUGUUAUCCGAAUUUUGACCUCAUUUUGCCUCUUCAAUCUUCCCUAUUUCUCUCUAUAUAUACUCCCCUUCCUUUAACGUUUUAGGGGAUUUUUUGGACACUGAUUUAUCACCCAAAAUAUAGAGCAUUUCCAUAAAACAAAAUAGAUUUCCCCAGAAAUUAGCUACACAAACAUACAUUAAGAGCUCAAAAAGGCUUAGGAUUUUUCCGUUCGAAUUCUACGGAGCUCUUCGGAAUUGGGUGAAGCUACGCUUGUGGUGUAGUCAUUGCUCUUCUCUCGUUGUCUCAGUCUUGCUGCCCGGAAAAAGGUAAACGAUUCUUCUCUACUUUACUGCUUUAUUCUCUUUGUGAUAUAGAUGCUUAAAAUAAUUUAUUUCCCCAUUUUUUUCUUAAGAUUUCUUAUUUUAUCUAUUAUCUUGCUUGAAUAUUGAUAUAAGUUUCUCCUCACAUAUCUAGUUUUUUUAUCUAAACAUCUGUUUCUCUGAUCACUAUGUGGCAUAAGUGUUGUUAAAGAAUUGUUUUCCGGUGAAGCUUAUUUGAAUCUGUGUCAUGAGUACAAUCUAGCUUAAAGUAGUAUAUUGUGGUCAUUCUUGUUCUUAAAUGAUUUGUUAUUGCAAUCGAAAGUUUAUCCUUUGCUUAGUCAAGAAUGUUUCAUAUAUGUGAUGAUGUAGUAUAACUUAGUUUUCAUACUCACAGCCAGUUUUGGAUAUGUGUGGUGACAUAAUAGGAUGUUCACGUGCUUGGAUGAAGUAGCCACAACUCAUUUAAUCAUUGUAGUUCGGUUGAUUUAUUUUGAAUGUGAUUAGAACUACUUACUACUUUAAAAGGCAUGCAUAUUGUGGUUUGAUAGUAUCGCACUGUAGCAUUAAUUCAUGACCAUUUUGUCUGUUUAUUUGUUAAUUUAAUCAGAUUAGGGAUAAACUGCUAAUCUCUUUGCUUGUGUUUGUUAAGUAUUAUGAAUUCUUACUAGGGUUGGACAUAAAUACCGAAAAACCGAAAUAUCAAACCGAACCGAAUUGUUUUGGUAUUUUGGUUUUUGGUUUGGUAUUCGGUAUAUAUUUUCGUAUUUUUCAGUAUUUUGGUUCGGUUUUUGGUAUGUAACAUUUAUAUUAUUCGGUAUUUUGGUUUACCAAAAUAUAUUAUAUAAUAUUAUAUUAAUUAUUAAUAUUAAAUAAUAAAUAUAUAGGCAAAGUUAGGUCAAAGAGUAAACAUUACACAAGACUAAGACUUUUCACUUUUCAGCUUUAACUUUUCAAACAUUUUUUAGCCGCACAUUAGUCACUUCAUUUUCCAAUUUCCCACUUUCCAGUUCCACUUUCUGCUUCUGGCGACCGGCCGAUCAGCAACAAGCCAACGAUCGGCCGACCCAGCAAGCAGCACGUAGCAGGCCAGCACACAGGCAACAUGCAGUAGCCAACCAGCAGCACGCAGCAGCCGACCGACGACCACCAGCGACCGACCGGCGACCACCAACGACCGACCGGCAACCACCAUCAGGUAUUGUAUUCGAUAGAUUGAUUAUUUUUUUGUUGUUAAUAUUUAUUCUUCCAUUUUAAGUGACCAAGUUUAAAAAUGAAUAUUUCUUCUUCCAUUUAUUUUUCUUUCUGAUUUUUGCUUUUGUUACUAGUUAGUGUGUGAAUUCAUUGUGAAAUAAUUUUUUAUAUAUAUAGAUGGCUGAACAAAAUCAAUUAAAUGUGGGUGUGGCUGAUCAAAAUCGAAUAAGUAUGGCUAGUUCUAAGGAGGUGAAAUGAUCUGAUGAACCUCUAUACUUGUAUGAGUUUGUAUUAUGGACCCUUCUACUUAACUUUUUAUCAACUGAACCCUUAAACUCAUUAAAACACAAUAUAUCAAACCCCUCUGACUAUUGACCAUGCUUAUGUGGCAUUAAAAUAGAUGAAUUGGCUAGAGAGUGUAACCACACUCAUAUAAAGGCAAAUGAAUAACAUAUUUAAAUUUAAAAAAUAUAAACUAAUUUUUUUAAUAAAAAAAAGUCAUCUUCUUCCCCUCACCUCACCUUCUUCAGUCAUCCCCCACCCCAUCCCCGCCCCAUCCUUCUUUUUCAGCCCAUCCGCCACCCCAACCCCCUCUUUCUGGCUUCAGCUACGGACCACCCAUCUUUGCCUCAACUUCCUUUUGCAGUCACCCCCACCCUAUCAGUAGACCCAAUUCUUUCUUUUUUUCAUUUUUUUGUUUCCAUUUUAGUUUCAUCAAAUACCACUAUUAAAGAAUAGAAUUUUCAAAUACAAAAGGCUUACAAAGGAAGGAAAGAAAUGGAAACAAAGGAAGAUUAAUUUAGAUCUAAUUUAAGAUUCAAGAUUUUCUUUUUAAGACUUCCAUUUUUUAUAACCGUCUUUUUUAUUUGUAUAAAAACAAGUUUAAAUGGAAGAAAAAUAGACUAAGAGGGUGGAGGUGAUGAUGGUUGUUGGUCGAGAGAGGUGGACGGAAGUUGGAGGAAGGUGAUAAAAAUAAGAAUUUUACUUUAAAGAAUUAUCUUUUAUUUAAUAUUUUGAUUAAUAAUUUUUAAAAAUAGUUAAUGAAGAUAAUUAUGACGUGUUAUUAAUUUAUGUGACAUGCAUUUGACAUGUCAUCUAUUUGAGGGAGAGUGGGCUACACAAAUAAUAUGAGGGGUUUAAAAAUCAUCUUUUAAUUGUGUUUAAGGGUUUAGUUGGUAAAGUGUUAAGUAAAAUGAUCCACAAUACAAAUGCAUACAGGUAUAGGGGUCCAUUAGAUCAUUUCACCUUCUACGGACAAUACACCUACUAAUAGCAAAGAUGUGUCAAUUGGCACAGAGGAAACAAAAAAAAAAGAAAUGGAUCCUAGAUUUAUUGUUUGGCAACACUUUGAUUUUAUUUUUUUUGAAAAUAGUGUAUUAGUUAAAGAAAAGUGUUUACAUUGUAAACAAAACUAUGGUGCUAAUACAACUAGAAAUGGAACAAGUGGACUGAGACAACAUUUGACUAACUGAUGUAAAGUGUAUAAGCCCCCGCCUGUUGCACCUAGUAUUCAAAAAUUGUUAAAUAUUCAAAGUAACAGUUCUUCGAUAGAGACUUGGAAAUUUGAGAAAGAGGUAGCUAGGAGAUCUUUAGUGUAGAUGAUAAUAUUGGAUGAACUACCUUUUAGUUUUGUUGAAAAAGAAGGCUUUAAGAAGUUUAUGAGUAAAGUCCAACCUUUGUUUCGGAUUCCUUCGCGUAGAACCAUAACAAGGGAUUCUUAUGAAGUUUAUGGUGAAUUGAGAAUGAAUUUGAAAAAGUCUUUUAGAGAAAUACAACCAAGAAUUUGUCUCACAACAGACACAUGGACUUCGGUGCAAAGAAUCAAUUAUAUGUGUUUGACUGCUCACUUUAUUGAUAGGGAUUGGGUGCUUCAUAAAAGAAUAUUGAUUUUUUGUCCUAUCACCAUUCAUAAAGGUGAGCAUAUGGUUGAGUGUAUUAGUAAUUGUUUGCUUGAUUGGAACUCGGACAAUGUCUUUAAUGUUACGGUUGAUAAUGCCUCUUCAAAUGAUGUGACAGUUUUAGAGUUGUCCAAAAAAUUAGAUAUGUGGGGAACUAAUAUGAUGGAUGGUAAGCAUCUCCAUGUGAGAUGUAUGGCUCACAUACUUAAUGUAAUUGUGUAAGAUAGUUUGAAAGAGAUUGGUCCUUCUAUCAAACGGGUGAGACAAAUGGUGAAAUAUGUUAGAUCAUCUUCUACAAGGACAAGAAACUUCUUGAAAUGUGUUGAAAUGCAAAAGAUAGAAUGUGAUAAAAUAUUGUCUUUAGAUGUGCCUACUAGGUGGAAUUCCACCUAUUUGAUGUUGGACACGGCAAGAAAGUUUGAGAAGGCUUUUGAGAGGUUUGAUCUUUAUGAUGGUAAUUUUAAUUAUUUUUGCUACUGAUGUUUGUGAAGAUGGAAGUAUUGCAGGUUUAAUUCAAAAUGAGGAUUAGGCUAAUGUGAGGAAUGUCACAAAGUUUCUAGAAAGAUUUUAUGAGCUCACGUAGAAUGUUUCAGGUUCACGGUAUGUUACUUGUAAUGUUCAUUUUGAGGAUAUAUGUGAGCUUGAUGCAUAUUUGAAAGUAUGUAUGACAAGUGAUGAUGUUGAUCUUGAUGCAUAUUUGAAAGUAUGUAUGACAAGUGAUGAUGUUGAUCUUGAUGCAUAUUUGAAAGUAUGUAUGACAAGUGAUGAUGUUGAUCUUGAUGCAUAUUUGAAAGUAUGUAUGACAAGUGAUGAUGUUGAUCUUGAUGCAUAUUUGAAAGUAUGUAUGACAAGUGAUGAUGUUGAUCUUGAUGCAUAUUUGAAAGUAUGUAUGACAAGUGAUGAUGUUAAUUUGAGUAAAUUGGCUUCGGGGAUGAAAGAAAAGUUCAAGAAAUAUUGGGGUACUCCUAAAAAGAUGAACAAAAUUCUUUUUUUUGCCUCUGCUUUGGAUCCUCGCAAUAAAUUUGUGUGUGUUAGUUUUGCUCUUGAAGAAUUACUUGGGGAAGAUAAGAGAAAGAUAGUGAAUAAUGUACUUGAAGAAAUUGUUUGUGAUCUAUGUAAGUAAGUAUGCAAAAGGUUCUAAAAAUCAAUCAUCUUCAUCUGACUCAUAUGAUUCAUCUACUUGUGGUCUUUCUCAAAAUGUGAAAACAAAUUCUUUGAGAACUAAGUUUUACAUGAAGAAACAAAAGGAAGAUUUUGGAAGUUUAGGUGUUAAUUAUGAGUUGGAUAGAUAUCUUCUUGAAGACCAAGAGCCUGAAUCUAAGGAUUUUGAUAUUUUAAUUUGGUGGAAAGUUAAUUCUCCUAGAUUUUCUAUACUUUCACCGUUGGCUCGAGAUGUAUUGGUUAUUCCUAUGUCGAGUGUGACAUUGAAAUAUGCAUUUAGCACCGGUGGUCAUAUUCUUGAUCCCUUUAGAAGUUCAUUGACUCUCAAAUGUGUGCAAUGCCUUAUUUGUGUCCAAGAUUGGCUUAGACAAGAAACUAAGCCUAUUUGUGUUGAAGAAAGUUUGGAGUUUCUUGAAAUAAUUGAACUUGGUAAGACUAUUUAUUUUUUAUUUGUUUUUGGAAAAAAUAAAAUACUUAUUGUGUUGUGUGACAUAUUUGAUUUUUUUAUUUAUAGAGAUGACAAAUAGUGGAAGAAACUCUUCCACUGUUGAUCUAUGAUUGACUUGCAAGUCUCAAGUAUUUAAUAGUGGUGAGUUCGAUACGUCAUCUAUUUAAUCAUGUCAUUUUUUUUAAUCUUAAAAGUAGUAUUCUAACAUUUGAUUUUAUCUUAAAAGGUUAAAGAGUCAAGACAAUGAAUAAAGGCGUAAAGUACAAAGUUUUGUUAGUGUUUUUGUUGGCACUUGAAACUUGAAAGUGAUCUCAUGGAAGAAAGUCAAGAAACUACAUUGUUGCUCAUUAUUGUUAUUUGUUAUUGUUGGCAUUUGAAAGUGAUCUCAUGGAAGAAGCUACAUUAUUUGUUGCUCAUUAUUGUUGUUUGUUAUUGUUGGCAGUUGAAACUUGAAAAUGGUCUCAUGGAAGAAACUACAUUAGUGAAUUAUUGUCACUUGUUAGAUUGUUAUUGUGUUGUUGUGUAAUGGCAUGAUCAAUUGAUCAUUGUAUUUGUGAAGUGUAGUGAAGUUUUAUUACUUGUUAAAUUGUUGCUUGUUAGUGCCUUUUUGGCUUUAUUAUUUUUACUUGUUAAAUGUCUAGUAUAGUUGGCUAGAUUGUUAGUCAUUACUAAAGUCUAAAUAUUUGAUAAAUAGUAACAGCUUAAGGAAUUAGGACCACUAAAGCAUAGUAGCAUACCAUAGAAAUUAGAUAUUUUGAAAGAGCCACAAAAAAG